rnacentral:rRNA from 1 species
GACGAACGCUGGCGGCGUGCUUAACACAUGCAAGUCGAACGAUGAAGCCUAGCUUGCUAGGUGGAUUAGUGGCGAACGGGUGAGUAAUACGUGAGUGACCUACCUUUGACUCUGGGAUAAGCCUGGGAAACUGGGUCUAAUACCGGAUACGACCAAUCUCUGCAUGGGGUGUUGGUGGAAAGCGUUAUGGAGUGGUUUUAGAUGGGCUCACGGCCUAUCAGCUUGUUGGUGAGGUAAUGGCUUACCAAGGCGACGACGGGUAGCCGGCCUGAGAGGGUGACCGGCCACACUGGGACUGAGACACGGCCCAGACUCCUACGGGAGGCAGCAGUGGGGAAUAUUGCACAAUGGGCGCAAGCCUGAUGCAGCGACGCCGCGUGAGGGAUGACGGCCUUCGGGUUGUAAACCUCUGUUAGCAUCGAAGAAGCGAAAGUGACGGUAGGUGCAGAGAAAGCGCCGGCUAACUACGUGCCAGCAGCCGCGGUAAUACGUAGGGCGCGAGCGUUGUCCGGAAUUAUUGGGCGUAAAGAGCUUGUAGGCGGUUGGUCGCGUCUGCUGUGAAGGCCGGGGCUUAACUCCGGUUUUGCAGUGGGUACGGGCUAACUAGAGUGCAGUAGGGGAGACUGGAAUUCCUGGUGUAGCGGUGGAAUGCACAGAUAUCAGGAGGAACACCGAUGGCGAAGGCAGGUCUCUGGGCUGUAACUGACGCUGAGAAGCGAAAGCAUGGGGAGCGAACAGGAUUAGAUACCCUGGUAGUCCAUGCCGUAAACGUUGGGCACUAGGUGCGGGGGACAUUCCACGUUUUCCGCGCCGUAGCUAACGCAUUAAGUGCCCCGCCUGGGGAGUACGGCCGCAAGGCUAAAACUCAAAGGAAUUGACGGGGGCCCGCACAAGCGGCGGAGCAUGCGGAUUAAUUCGAUGCAACGCGAAGAACCUUACCAAGGCUUGACAUGCAUUAGAUCGCGUCAGAGAUGGCGUUUCCCUUCGGGGCUGGUGUACAGGUGGUGCAUGGUUGUCGUCAGCUCGUGUCGUGAGAUGUUGGGUUAAGUCCCGCAACGAGCGCAACCCUCGUUCUAUGUUGCCAGCGGUUCGGCCGGGGACUCAUAGGAGACUGCCGGGGUUAACUCGGAGGAAGGUGGGGAUGACGUCAAAUCAUCAUGCCCCUUAUGUCUUGGGCUUCACGCAUGCUACAAUGGCCGGUACAGAGGGUUGCGAUACUGUGAGGUGGAGCUAAUCCCUUAAAGCCGGUCUCAGUUCGGAUUGGGGUCUGCAACUCGACCCCAUGAAGUCGGAGUCGCUAGUAAUCGCAGAUCAGCAACGCUGCGGUGAAUACGUUCCCGGGCCU